GACGAACGCUGGCGGCGUGCUUAACACAUGCAAGUCGAACGGAAAGGCCCUGCUUUUGUGGGGUGCUCGAGUGGCGAACGGGUGAGUAACACGUGAGUAACCUGCCCUUGACUUUGGGAUAACUUCAGGAAACUGGGGCUAAUACCGGUUAGGAGCUCCUGCUGCAUGGUGGGGGCUGGCACGUUUCGGCGGUUGGGGAUGGACUCGCGGCUUAUCAGCUUGUUGGUGGGGUAGUGGCUUACCAAGGCUUUGACGGGUAGCCGGCCUGAGAGGGUGACCGGCCACAGUGGGACUGAGAUACGGCCCGGACUACUACGGGAGGCAGCAGUGGGGAAUAUAGCACGAUGGGCGGAAGCCGGAUGAAGCAACGCCGCGUGCGGGAUGACGGCCUUCGGGUUGUAAACCGCUUUCGCCUGUGACGAAGCGUGAGUGACGGUAAUGGAUGAAGAAGCACCGGCUAACUACGUG
rnacentral:rRNA from 1 species